UCCAAAAAAAAAAAAAAAAAGGUUUCUAGGUAGCUAGGGUUCUUUACUUUAUGAUGAGUAUAUUACCUAAAAUACCCAUAGAAAUGGAGAGUUUUUACAUGACAAUAGAAGAAUUUCUAAGGAUAAAUUUGGCAUUUUAUAGUUUAUUAUUCUGACGAAAUCUGUUUUAGAUAAUCCUAGUCCAAUCUGGCACUCGUCACUUUGCAUGUCCAUGCGUUGUCAAUUUCGAAAAGACAAAAUAAUUAACAAGGCAAGUGUUUACAUCCUUCACAAAAGGACACAAAACCAAUGUAAUAAUCUCUAUUCAUUUCAUUUUCUUUUAGGUCUUCUCUAGUAUUAUUUAACACCAUUUUAUCAAUUUUGUGUAGUAUUUCGCUAAUUCUUCAGUGAAGCAAUCUACAAAAGUUGCUUAAGAAAUGUUUUAAAAUUUUGAUUUGUAAUAUAAACUUAAAUAACAAUGCAUUUUGUAUUAAAAUUAUAAUAUUAAAAUACUAUAAAAAUAAAUUGAUUUUUUAUAUUAUUAUCAAAACAACAUUUUGAAAAUCGAAACAAAGAGAUUCUCUAUACUUGAAAAGGUAAAUUUGAUUGAUGAAAAAUGGGAAAAAGCAUAUUGAAACAAAAAGAUUUUUCCACAAUAGCAUUAUAAUAUUAACAUAAAAUAACAUCAAAAUUUUAAAUAAAUUGAGUGCAAUCGUGUUCGAAUCAAACAUAACUGUCAUUUUUGUUUAAAAUAUAAAUAUUUAUCGAUAUGAUUCAAGAAGGUUAAUUUAAUCGAUAAAAAAUAGAAAAAGGAUUUUUGAGAAUUGAAACAAAAAGAUUUUUUCAAAAUUACAUUAUAAUAUUAAGAUAAAAUAGAAUUUAAAUAAAUUAAGUAUGACCGUGGCCAAACUAAAAAUAUUUAUCAUUUCCAAAAGAUAAAUAUAUAUCGACAUAAUUUAAGAUGGUAAAUUUGAUUGAUGAAAAAUGAUGAAAAGAAUUUUAUGAAUUGAAGUAAAAAAGAUAUUUUUGCAAUUGCAUCAUAAUAUUAAAAUAAAAUAAGAAUUAAAUAAAUUAAAUAAAUUGAGUACAAUUAUAGUCAAAUUGAGAAAAAAUAUAUCUCUAAAGUAAAUAUACAUCGAUAUGAUUUAGAACAGUGAAUUUGAUCUACGAAAAAAAAAUUCUAAAAUAAAAUGAAGAAAAUUUUUCAUAACCGUAUCACAAUAUUAAGCUAAAAUAUGAUUAAAAAAAUUGAAUAAAAUGAAUGUGAUUAUGGUCGAACCGAGAGUAAUUAUCAUUUUCGAAACACAGAUAUGAUUCAGGAAAGUGAAUUUGAUCGAUGAGAGAUGGAAAAAAGUUUUUUGAGAAUUAAAACAAAAAAAAAUUUAUAAUCACCUCAAAAUAUUAAAACUUAAAUAAAUUGAGUGUGAUUGUAGUCGAAUUGAGAGUAAUUAUCAUCUCUAAAACACAGAUGUGUAUCGAUGUGAUUCAGAAAGGUAAAAUUGAUCUAUGAAAAAUGGGGGAAAAAGCAAUAGAAGAAGAAGAGGGGGAGAAAUUAACCUUGAUGUCUGGCCUCAAAUGAUUGUGCCAUCUCUCUCUGCACUGUUUCCCUACUCUUCCUUCCAUCAUCUUAGCAAUCUGAGACCAUUUCUUUACUCCAUUCUGUUUCACCAAGUGCACUAACAUUCUGCAGAUGGAGAAGAAGAAUCAUCUCACAAGCUCAGUUCAGCUCAAAAAAUACAUGUAAAUUACUUCUAAACAUGAAACCCUAAUGAAAAAUUCUGGUACCUGUCUUCUUGAGGAGUCCAUUGGCCUUUGAUUAUUUGCGCUUUCUUGUGAACUUUUCCAUCUUUUUUAAUCUGAAACCUUUGGUCUUUCCUGUGAUCAGCUUCCUUGCCAUACCCAUUAUCUCCAGUUAUGCAUGAGACCUCAUCUGGUAACUUAGCAAGAUUCAUCGAUCUCAUAUUCAGAGACUGAUGAUGAUAAGUGAGCUUUUGACCCAAUGGAUCAUUAGCUUCAUCAAAUUUUUGAGGAUUAUAAUCCCCAAAAGAUCUUCUCUGCAAACUUCCAUGCAAGGGCCUGUGAUCAUAUCCAGAUUCUCCACCAUUGGCUGGCAACAAAGCUGCAGAAACAAAAGCAUUUAGAUCACUAGAGAACCCAUUUGGAAGAGGCUCCAAAGGAUCGAUGCAUGUCGCUGAAACCCCCAGAAAGGGAUUCUUUGAGGAGCCUUCAAUGGUAAAAUGAUCAAGAUGGUACUGAGAAUUGAAAGGUGAUGGUAGGUGGAGAUUAUGAUGAUCAAGAUGGUGAAUGCUCUGAAAUAAUCCCUUAUUAGAAGAGAAGGGAGCUUCAUGGGAGGAAAAUCCACUUUCUAUCUCAUGUUUCAAGGGAAAAUCAGAGAGAAGGCUUGAAAGGUAAGGGAAUUCUUCUCUCAACUUUCUGUCAAGCUCCAUGCAGCAGAGAGAGAGAGAGAGAGAGAGUGAGUGAGAGUGAGAGAACAAGAAAGGAAGGAGGGUUUAAUGUAUUUGAGCAAUAAGGGUUAAUUUCUAAUUUUCUGUGUAUGAAAAUGGGCAUAAUAAGUGCACAUUUGGCAAAUUUUUAGCCCUUGAUGAUACUAUACCGCAAGGGUUAAUAUUGCUUGUUGCUAAUGACUUUUGAGCUUCCAUCUUUUUGUAUUACUUAGCUGCUUAGACCAAAAAAUAAAUAAUAAUAAUAAUAAUAAUAAAUAAAAUAAAAUAAAAUAAAAAGACUCGAUAAUCAUUAGGUCGUUAUAAGGUCUUGUAUUUUAGGAAAAUUACGGGUCAGAUUUAAGGACACUUGGCGACCAUGUGCAGCCCUUGGUUACAGCUUCAACAGAUAGGUAAGUAAUAAAAAAUAAAUAAAUAAAUAAAAUUGUUUAUCGUUUAAACCUCAGCUUUUUGAUGAUCACAAAGACUAUAGAUUACCAUCACAGGGUGAAGAUUAAACGAUGUAGAAUACAAUUAUGGAAAUUUCUUACCCGUAUUUAUACGUUUAUUUAUUAAAAUAUUAAGUUAUCAAAAUUUACUUAUAGAUAGGAGAUAUCAUAAUUUUAAUUUAUAUAUUAUUUUAUUAAAAAAAAUUUAGAAAAUAGUUUUCUUGAAUUUUGAUUUUGGUGAAAACUGGGUAAAUUUUUUAAAUGAGUUUUCCCAAAUGGUAAGUUAAUUUACAGUUGCCAACUCAUUCCCUUUGAAACAAAUCUUGAGGGAAAAUUGUUAUUUUUGCUUUAAAUGCUAUUUUUUCAUACUUGGAAACUAAGGUAUGUGGUCAAAGACUCUAUAUGACAAGUGGAAAUUUUGGUCAAAGUAUUGAUUAUUACUGUAAAAUUAUUAUUAUUAUUAAAAAAUGAAAUUACUCCCAACAAAUAUAUACUUAAUUUGAUCCAUCAUUUAUAAAAAUUCCAAGUCUAUGCUAUACCUAAUUAUUAUUAUUUAUCUCAAAAUAAAAUGUUUAUAUUUAGAUAAUAUUAAUAAUAUUUUUUUAUUACUAUUAAAAAUUAAUAAAUAUUGAGAUAAAUAAUUCGAUAUUUUUCACUUAUUCGUAUAAAUAGAAAAAAUAUUUUUUUUAUGACAGGGAAAUUGAGGAAUUUGGUAGGUAGCUCUUUAUUGAAAAAUUGUAACCAUAUUCUUUGUCUUUUGUUUUUUUUUUUUUUUUNNNNNNNNNNNNNNNNNNNNNNNNNNNNNNGAGGUUGAAAAACCUGGAAGAAGGAUUGUCUGAGCCAUUUGUCAAAGCAAAAGCAUCUUUCUGUUUGUAACUGAAUCAUUAAUGCCUUUCCUAUUUGGUUUAUAAUUCAAUCCCUCACUCAUUAAUUACUAAAUUAAAUCAUAAUUAAAUAAAUAUAUACGGUUACACUAUUUCUCAUUAUAAGUUUAUUUUGUAGUUUAAAUAUUUAUAAAUUUAUAUUUAUAAGAUAUUUUUAUAAAUUAAAUUUUCUUUAAAAAAUAUCUGAGGUGAUUACAACUUAUGAAUUAGACUAAUUAAUCAAAUGAAAUAAAAAUUAAUAUUUUCAGUAAGAAAUUUGGUUGGAUUAACUGAACUUUAAUAAUAUAAAUAGUAUAUUAUAAAAAUAAUGUAAAUUAUAUAUUCAGUUGGUUGAUUUUUCUUAUAAAAAUGAAAAUAGGAAAAUUAAAAAAGAUAUAAAUUCAGUUUAGUUUAUUAUUUAUUAGGUAAAUUACAAUUUAAUUACUGUGAAACUUACACAUUAGUUUUCAUUCCAGCCAUUUCGUUCUUUUAAUUAAGAAAAAAUCAAUGAAAAAUAUAAUUAAUCAAUAUUGUUGUAUUAUUUUUUAAGCACUUAAUUAUUUGUUUUAUAUAUUUAAAUUAUAUAAAUUAAAAUAUUGAAAUGUAAAUUAUCUGGAUUAAAUGGUGUUGGGCUAUAAAUAAAUAAAUAAAUAUGUUUGUGAGAUAUUUGAAAUUUGAUUUGAUAAAAAUUUGAUCGGUCUCGACUCGAUUUUUAAAUGAGUCAAACUCAAAUUUAAUUUUUAGGCUAAUUUAGUAAACAAGUCAAAUUUAAUCUCCAUAGUAUACUGCUCGUUUAUAAAUUUUUGACCAAGUUAAGGAAUAAGUUUGUGAAUAGUUUGGUUAAAUAGUUUAAGAUUAAUAUUAUAAAAGAAAUAAAUUCAAAAUCUUGUAUAUAUUUUUUUAGUCAAAUUUAAAAUUUUUAAAAUUUAGCUAUACAAAGUGUAAUUAUACUUUUAAAACUCGUAAAUAUUGAGAUGAUUAAAAUUUAAGAAUUUAUUUUUUAUAAGUUUGUGAUGUAAUGUGUAUAUAUAUUUAUUUAACUAAAAUUAUUUAAUUUUAAAUUUAUUAGUUUUAAUUAAUUUUUGACUAAAACUCAUUAUAUUUAAAUAAAUUAAAUUAUUUAUAAAAUAUUUAAAAUUAAACUAAAUAAAAACUCGACUCACUCAUUUGCUAAAUUAGUCAAAUUUUAACUUAUUAAUAUUUGACUCGAAUUUAAAAUAAACAAAUCUCAAGUUUGAUUCGAGCACAAAAAAAUUUUAACAAACAACUCUUCAAAACUAAAUUCAGCUCGAUUCGUAUACGCUCAUAAAAUCGUAAAUACAAUAAAAGAAUUUAACUCACUGUAUAGAUAAUAAUUUGUUAAUAUUUUAAAAUAUUAUAAAAAUAAAAGCAUGAUUUAAAAAAUUAAAGUGAUUAAUGUGUAAAUUUUAUCAAAUUAUUGAGAUUAAAAUAUAAUUUAUCAUAAUUUUUUUUUAUUUUUAAGGAAGAAACCGAAGAAGUGAGAAUUUAAACUUGAGUCUAGCAGUAGGAAAGGAAUAGCAAUUUUCAUGAAUGUUUCAUCUCGUUUAUUUUGUUUAUGUCAUAUUAGAAAAAAUAAUUCAAUUUUUUUUUUCACACUUUUAUGUUCUUUUAAUUUUAAUCAUAAUUUUAAUAUUAGUUAUAAUUUUAAUUACGAGCUCAAAUUAAUUUUAUUAGAAUUUAGUGAAUUUUUUAAUUAAUUAUAUUUUUAAUUUAUUAAAUAAAAUAAUUUAAAUAUUUUCAGAAAAAUAUAUUUUUAUAUCUCAAUAUUUAAACCGUGAACAAUUAAACUACAACUUUAAUAAUUAAACUACGGUUAAAUCUUAUUUAAAACCUUCGAAAUAACUAAAUUGAAAUCUCUAAAUGAAUUGAAAUCCUUAAUUCAUCAAAAUCUACUUUUCCUUUACUUUCUCGUAAACCAAACAUCAAAAUUUCACUUAUAAUUAAAAUAUAUAAUUCCAUUUAAAUUAUUUGAAAACCUAUGGCGGGUUUCAGAUAAGCACUAUCAUGCCCUCUUCUAUUUCUUUAUAAUUAUUUUCUUUUUCACAUCCAUACCUCUCAGUUCAUUUAAAUUCUAUUAUUUUCUUUGUAGUUAAAGUUUUGAAAAAAAUCAUUAACUAUUUAUUUUUUUAUCCAUUCGGUGUCUUGAUUAAAAAUAUAACCGACCAUAACUCCAUCCCACAAUAUAUCCACAACUCAUGAAAUAAUCCACAAUUCUCAACCCGAGAGCAAAAGAGCAAAGGUCACUGGACAUGGCAGGCAGUAUGAUCCCGAGAUGCUAACGUCACAUGGUAAGGAGGCCUAUGCUACUCACCUCAUCUCAGGUCCAGAAAGACAGACUCCCUUGUUACCAAAUGCCAGGAGCCUAUAAGAAUGAAAAGAACAAAACUAAACUAAAAAUAACACCUAUCCACUCUUGCUGAGGGUCAACUAAGAGGAGACAGAGGCCAAACCCUUAUCCUAAGCAGGGGAAACAACCAAAAUGAAAUCAAACAAAAACAACAAGCAAGAUAAGAACACUGAAACGACGACGGAUGCUACCAAACCUCAGUCACUAAAUUGCAAAAUCCUUUCCUACGCCCUUUCCUUCUUUUGCUUCCGCUUCUGCUUCCGCUUCUGCUUCUUAGCCCUUUUUCUCUUCUAGUUAUUUCAACACUUAGAGUUUAAAAUAUAUACCAACAUUAUUUUUUUAUUAAAAUAAAUAUAUUAUUGCCCCUUAUGCAACCAUGAACCAAAUCAAUAGUGUCACUUAAAACCGUAGUAUUGUCAAUAGAUUUUAGCGGGUAUUUUGUAGUGUUGUUUUCAUCGUGUCUUUAAAUUGAUUAACUGGAGUCUCCUCUGAUUGGUAUCAUUAAACUUAAUUACGAUAUGAUUUGGACAAGUCAAUUUUCCUUGACAUCAUUAAACUUAAUUACGAUAUGACUUGGACAAGUCAAUUUUUUUUGAAAGUAAUUGUUGUAGUUGCAAGAAAUCAAAUUGAAACUUUUCUCAUUGGUUUGGCAAAAAAAAUUUAGUAUUAUUUACCGGCAGUUUGAGAAAUUCUUGCGCUUAGAAAAGUAGUUAGGUUAUUGGAUUAGAGUUUUCACGAUAUCAUUUGCGAGACAGAUUUCUUUAUGGUAUAUUUUUCUUUUUCACAUUCUCCUAAUCUAGCUCCAUGGAAUAUCCAAACUUAUAUGAUUGACAUUUUAGAAUGUGUCUAUAAUUUGAGUGUAUAUCUAUUAAUCUAAUAAGGCGAUUUACAGAUACAUUCUAUAAUAAAAAUGUGUUUAAAGAUGUAAAAAAUUUUUCAGAACUCAUUUUACCUGGUUAUGAGUCAUGGACUAUUGGCUUAAAAAAACACAAUUAUAAUAAAAAGUUUUUAAUUUUGGAUAAAAAAGCUCAAAUUUUUAAAUUUGUUGUAAUUAUAGCAAAUUAUUAAAAUAAUUUAUCAAAUUGGAUUGAAAAAUCUAAAAUUUUAUAUUUAAUCACAAUUAUAACCACAAUUUUAAUAUUGGAUCUAAACUUUUACCUUUUUGGUAAUUAUAGCCAACUCUCAAAAUAAUUUUAACCAAUUUGAAAUAGGUGCAAAUCUCAUACUACAUGAUACUAAUUUACCUUUUUAAAUAUUUAUUAAAUAUAUAUACUAAAUUCUUUAAUUCUAAUUAACCACAUAAUUUACUUAAACUCUUAUUAUUCAAAUCCCUAAUUUGAAAUAUGAAAUAUUUAUUUUGAAUGAAUCUCUAAGUCUAAUUAGUUUUAAAUUAGGGAUUUCAAAAGUUUAAAUUAGGAAUUAAUACAAUAAAACUUAAAUAUUUUUAAAGGUAUAUGAUUAAUUAGAUUAUAAAAAUUUCACAUUUUAAAUGAAUCUCUAAAUCUAACUAAUUUUAAUUAGGGAUUUUAAAAAUUAAAUUAGAAAUUAAUACAAUAAAAGUUAAAUAUGUUUAAAAGGUAUAUGGUUAAUUAGAUGAUAAAAAUUCUCCAUUUUAAAUGAAUUUCUAAAUCUAACUAAUUUUAAAUUAGAAAUUUUAAAAUUUUAAAUUAGGAAUUAGAAUAAGUUAAAUAUUUCUUAGGGUAUAUAAUUAAUUAGAUUAUAAACAUUAGUUAUUAAAAUAAUAAAAGUUAAAUACUGUGGUUAAUUACAAUUAAUUAUAUGUAUUUAACUAAAUAUUUAUCAAAAUUAUAUUGAGAAUUGGCUAUAAUUAUAAAUAAAAAAUAAAAAGUUUAAAUCCAAUGUUAGAAAAUUAUACUUAUAAUCGUGAUUAAACGUAAAAUUUUAGAUUUUCAAUUCAAUUUGAUAAAUUAUUUUAAUAAUUGGCUAACAAAUUUAAAAGUUUAAAUUUUCUUAUUUAAAAUUAAAAAUUUGAUUAAAUGUAAAAUUGUGGUGUUUUUUAACCAAUAGCCUUUAUUUAUUAAGAUUUUGUACUUUAAUUCCAUUUCUACGGUCUUGUAAUGCAUUUUUACGUCGUUCCAAAAAAAAAAAAAGAAUUUGUGAUAACUGAAGGCCAAAUUAGUAAUUGCACUUUGUAACCAAGCUCUCAAGAAACCACAGAAUAACCGGUAAAGGCCUCAAUAUCGAAGGAUAGAAUUCAUCAAUGAGAUCAGGCAGAGAGAAAUCCCUGAGAUAUCCUCCUCACGACAAUCUCACAUCCUUGGAGAAAACAUCCUCUAACAACCAUGAACAGCAAGUAUUCCAGACCGAGACGUAGUAGAUCUACGCAAGUAUCUCCGAAAACAAAGACGGCUCAAUGACUAUGCAGUUGCCCAUUUCCAGCCUAAUGGAAGGACUCUUUUCUUAGUUCACGACCAUGGUUUGGCACAACGAGCCUCAAUUCCAACUUCAGAUUUUCUCAUGCAUGCCCCACUGCACAAAAAAACAAACAUAAAACAAAUAUACCUAGAGAACAGAUCCAUUGCAAUUCUCUAGCUAUGAAGUAUCAGUCUGCAAUAGCUCAGAACUAGAGGCAGUGCAGUUGCAUCUCCUAUAGCUAUGGAGGGCCAUUUCCACACAUUUUGUAGAUGUUUUCCUCUGACCUUCAACAAGCCUCCUAUAACCACUAACCAGGCUUGGAGGGCCUUCUUGCAUCAAAACAAAUAGAUCCCAAAAGAGCCCUCUCAAUCCGUGGGUUAGAUCUGCAAAAGAAAAUACAAGGGAGAUAAAUCUCCCAUUUGGCUAAAAGGACCUGAUUUCCCCUGCCCCAUGGGGCAAAGCAACCCCUAUCCGAAACUUCAACUAGACCCGAAGAGAAUGAGCUUAAAAGUUUGAAGAGAUUCUCUUUAACCGAGCAGAGGAAAUCUGUGAUUUCUUUUUCAGUCGAAUCAUAUUUUGAUUGUGGUAAGAAUAAUAAUAAUAAUAGUUGGACGAUGCACAUCCUAAGAUGAGUUAUCAACGGGCGGGUCGAUCUAACAUUGAAUUGGAAGUGGAUUGACGAAAUUAUUUUAAUAGAAUUGAACCACAAAUUAUCGAAAAAAAAAACACUUAGUAAAUAUUAUUCGGUCUCAAUAACAUUAAAAAAAAAAAAAAAACUUAUUAGUUUUAAGUAUUAACGGAUAAAUUAAUUACUUAUGACCUUAUAUUGCACUUAACAAUUAAAACUAAUAAAGAAAAAACUAAUUAAUAAAUUUAAUAAAUUUUUUGAGAUCUAAAAACAACUAAUGAUUCUUUUUUAAUCACUGGACUAAGUAAUAAUUUGUACUUUUUAUGAACUAAUUUCAGUUCAUUUCACAUCUUACAUUGAAAUAUGUCAAUACUUGUAAAGUUCGGGACCUUUUUAAGAUACAAAGAGCUUAUCGAAACACAGUUAAGAGUAGGAGAACAAGCAAAACUACCUAUCUACCAUUAUUAUCAAGACAAUAGAUUUCAGCUUACAUAAUCCAGUCGUCUGAUUGAACGAAAUUGACGAAUGUGGAGCUUUUUUUCAAAUCAUGCAAAAAUGAAAAAAUAUUAUUAAAAUCAUCCAGGAUUCGAAAAUAUUUUCGGAUCCUGUGUGUCAACCAUACGUGUUCGGCAGUCAUACUGCCGAACACGCAAGUUCGACGGUGAGAGAGUCGAACUACAUGUUGUUCGCCAGCCAUAGUGGCGAACAUUGCUUGUUCGCCACCAUGGGUGGCGAACACUGCUUGUUCGGCACCAGUGCCACCGGAGCAGUGGCAUGUUCGGUGCCGAAGAGUGAUUAAAGCGGGCGAUACGUGCGAUUACAGAGGGAUGGGCUGAAGAGGGACUGAAAAGAAAGAGUCGAAGCUUUCAAAAGCGGAAGCCUCAGAGUCGUUGAAGUAUUAGCGCUUACAGAGGCACCAGAGAUAGAGACGAAUGUCGUCGUUUCGUCGGAGUGGAUUUUUGAGUUGGAUAAGCGAGAUGGAUUAGAUUGUAUGUGUAUAUAACAGAAGGAAUGACCUGUGAAGGUGAUCGCUGACAUAAACGGCGAUGUCAUGCCGGCGAGAGAUGUCCCCUGAGACAACACAACAGUGGCUGAUUUUGGUAACGCCGUUGCCCAUCAAAUUCAAUAAAAAAUAUAUAUCAGAUAGAUAUAUUAGAUUGAUGGAUUGUUUCUCGGGAUUUGCAGAGACUAUAUUUGAUUUCUCAUCAUUUUGCAGAGAAAACGAACUGAGGAAAGGUGGAGAAGAAGAAGAAAAAGGGAGAUGACGAUCAGAGAGAUUGCAGAGAAAACGAACUGAGGAAAGGUGGAGAAGAAGAAGAAAAAGAGAGAUGACGAUCAGAUAGAGAGCGGCACUGUUCUGCUUGUUCGCCACCAUGGCUGGCGAACAACAUGAAAUUCACUGUUCUGCUUGUUCGCCACCAUGGCUGGCGAACAACAUGAAAUUCGACUCUCUCACUGUCGAACUUGCGUGUCGAACUUGCGUGUUCAACAGUCUGACUGCCGAACAUACUUGGUUGACACACAAGAUUCGAAAAUAUUUUCAGAUCCUGCAUGAUUUUAAUAAUAUUUUCUCAUUUUUGCAUGAUUUGAAAAAAGGCUCACGAAUGUGACAUCCGAAGAGCCAGGGUAUAAAGAAGGCGCAAGUUCUAAUCUCACUCGACAAAACAUUAUAUUCUUGUUGAUGGUCUUGCAGACAGAUUAGCACAGAAUUCCACAAUCCGACGAGGAUUUCUAUAUCAUUAUGCUGAGUGAUAAAAACAUUACAAGACAAAUAUUAUCCAUCAUCUUUAUACUACAUUUCAUCCUCGUGAUACAUACACUUCCCAUACUUUCCCCCCAAAAAACAACCAACGGAAUCAGUGACAAAAGGAUGCACCUGCCUUGGUUUUUUUACCCUUAAAACUAGGUGGAGCAUCACUAAAAAUCAACUAGUUUCUAUCCAUCCCAGCACUUCCCUCUGUUAACACUUCAACACCUACUUCNNNNNNNNNNNNNNNNNNNNAAAAAGAAAAGAAGAGGAGAAGAGGAUGGCACCAGGAAUAUAUCAAAUCAUCAUUAAGGUUAUAAGCUAUGAUCUAAGAACAAUGGAAGUUUCCAUCUGCCCCUCCAUACAUGCCUUCAUCAUCUGGUGGUAUUAUGCCAUCCUCAUCAGCAGGAAUCAUGCCUUCCUCUUCUUCCUCUCCAAAACGAGAUCUUGACGCAUCAUUAUAUGCUCUGUCCUCGUGUUCACUUCCAGUUGAUCUUCCUCGAUCCUGCUGGACAUCAUUUGAUGACGAACGGCCUUUUUCUGCCAUUGCUGUGUGGAAACUACUGCCACUGCCAUUAGAAGGGGAUCUUGACCUACCACUCUGGCUAUGAGAUGGUGGUGAUGCCCGGUUUCUUUCCAUCAUAGCCUGGUGAAAACUGCGAACAGGAGACUGUUCACGAGUGGAUACCUUCUGAGAACUGCUGCCUCCACCAUAAGGGGAUCUUGACCUCCCACUCUGGGUAUGAGAUGGUGGGGAUGCCUGACUUCUUUCCAUCAUAGCCUGGUGAAAACUGCAGGCUGGAGACCGUUCGCGAUUGGGUACCUUGUGAGAAUUGUUGCCACCACCACGAGGGGAUCUUGACCUCUCCCUUUGGUAUUGUGCUGGUGAGGUUGCUCGACCUCUUUCAAUCAUUGCCUGGUGAAAACUCUGCACUGGAGACCGUUCACGUGUUGGUGGAACCCUGUCAUGCCUAUCAGGGCUCCGACUAUGACCACGACCUCUAUCAUAGCUAUCACUGUACCCACCAUAUCUGUCCAUACANNNNNN
rnacentral:lncRNA from 1 species